rnacentral:rRNA from 1 species
UACGGAGGGUGCAAGCGUUAUCCGGAUUCACUGGGUUUAAAGGGUGCGUAGGCGGAUAAGUAAGUCAGUGGUGGAAUCUCCGAGCUUAACUCGGAAACUGCCGUUGAUACUAUUUGUCUUGAAUAUUGUGGAGGUAAGCGGAAUAUGUCAUGUAGCGGUGAAAUGCUUAGAUAUGACAUAGAACACCAAUUGCGAAGGCAGCUUGCUACACAAUGAUUGACGCUGAGGCACGAAAGCGUGGGGAUCAAACAGG